GCUUGCUACCUAACCUAGCGGCGGACGGGUGAGUAAUGCUUAGGAAUCUGCCUAUUAGUGGGGGACAACGUUUCGAAAGGAACGCUAAUACCGCAUACGCCCUACGGGGGAAAGCAGGGGAUCUUCGGACCUUGCGCUAAUAGAUGAGCCUAAGUCAGAUUAGCUAGUUGGUGGGGUAAAGGCCUACCAAGGCGACGAUCUGUAGCGGGUCUGAGAGGAUGAUCCGCCACACUGGGACUGAGACACGGCCCAGACUCCUACGGGAGGCAGCAGUGGGGAAUAUUGGACAAUGGGGGGAACCCUGAUCCAGCCAUGCCGCGUGUGUGAAGAAGGCCUUUUGGUUGUAAAGCACUUUAAGCGAGGAGGAGGCUCCUCUAGUUAAUACCUAGGAUGAGUGGACGUUACUCGCAGAAUAAGCACCGGCUAACUCUGUGCCAGCAGCCGCGGUAAUACAGAGGGUGCGAGCGUUAAUCGGAUUUACUGGGCGUAAAGCGUACGUAGGCGGCUUUUUAAGUCGGAUGUGAAAUCCCUGAGCUUAACUUAGGAAUUGCAUUCGAUACUGGGAAGCUAGAGUAUGGGAGAGGAUGGUAGAAUUCCAGGUGUAGCGGUGAAAUGCGUAGAGAUCUGGAGGAAUACCGAUGGCGAAGGCAGCCAUCUGGCCUAAUACUGACGCUGAGGUACGAAAGCAUGGGGAGCAAACAGGAUUAGAUACCCUGGUAGUCCAUGCCGUAAACGAUGUCUACUAGCCGUUGGGGGCCUUUGAGGCUUUAGUGGCGCAGCUAACGCGAUAAGUAGA
rnacentral:rRNA from 1 species